rnacentral:rRNA from 1 species
UACGUAGGUGGCGAGCGUUGUCCGGAUUUACUGGGCGUAAAGGGAGCGUAGGCGGACUUUUAAGUGAGAUGUGAAAUACCCGGGCUCAACUUGGGUGCUGCAUUUCAAACUGGAAGUCUAGAGUGCAGGAGAGGAGAAUGGAAUUCCUAGUGUAGCGGUGAAAUGCGUAUAGAUUAGGAAGAACACCAGUGGCGAAGGCGAUUCUCUGUACUGUAACUGACGCUGAGGCUCGAAAGCGUGGGGAGCAAACAGGAUUAGAUACCCGCGUA